rnacentral:rRNA from 1 species
AUUGAACGCUGGCGGAAUGCUUUACACAUGCAAGUCGAACGGCAGCACGGACUUCGGUCUGGUGGCGAGUGGCGAACGGGUGAGUAAUGUAUCGGAACGUGCCCAGUCGUGGGGGAUAACGUAGUGAAAAUUACGCUAAUACCGCAUACGAUCUAUGGAUGAAAGCGGGGGAUCGCCAGAUCUCGCGCGAUUGGAGCGGCCGAUAUCAGAUUAGGUAGUUGGUGGGGUAAAGGCCCACCCAGCCAACGAUCUGUAGCUGGUCUGAGAGGACGACCAGCCACACUGGAACUGAGACACGGUCCAGAAUUCUGCGGGAGGCAGCGGUGGGGAAUUUUGGACAAUGGGCGAAAGCGUGAGUCAGCCAUUCCGGGUGCAGGAUGAGGGCCCUCGGGUUGUAAACUGCUUUUGUACAGAACGAAAAGGUUUCUACUAAUACUAGGAGCUCAUGACGGUACUGUAAGAAUAAGCACCGGCUAACUACGUGCCAGCCGCCGCCGUAA